rnacentral:tRNA from 1 species
GCCGGUGUAGUUCAAUGGUAGAACUCCUGCUUCCCAAGCAGGUGGCGCGGGUUCGAUUCCCGUCACCGGCU